rnacentral:rRNA from 1 species
UACGUAGGGUGCAAGCGUUGUCCGGAAUUAUUGGGCGUAAAGAGCUUGUAGGCGGUUUGUCGCGUCUGCUGUGAAAUUUCGGGGCUCAACCCCGAACUUGCAGUGGGUACGGGCAGGCUAGAGUGUGGUAGGGGAGACUGGAAUUCCUGGUGUAGCGGUGAAAUGCGCAGAUAUCAGGAGGAACACCGAUGGCGAAGGCAGGUCUCUGGGCCAUUACUGACACUGAGAAGCGAAAGCAUGGGGAGCGAACAGG